GAGCUUCAAUGGAACUUGCUGAAGUGAAGGCUGAACUGCAAGAAAGCAAAAAUGAAAAUUUGAGGCUCUGGAGUGUAAUCAAGACAUUAGAGAAGAAUCAGUCUUCAUUGGAGGACAAGCACAAUGAACUGAAAGCUAUGCUAUUAGCAUCUCAAGGUCAUGAAAAAGCAGGGAGCAAUCACAAAAUUGUACAAGAACCCAAGGAGGAUCUGGAGGAUAUGGUGGCUAUUAACAAUGAAGAAAAAGAAGCUCCAACUUCAUCUAGAGCUAGCAAGAGAUCCAAAGUCAAAACUGAGCUUGUGGAAAAGGUGAUUGUGUCAACUCAACAAAUACCAAAGAAAGGCCAGCCAACCCAGCAAGAGGAGAAAGCUGCUCUUAGUCUUCAGCAGAACAGGGAGGACACUGCUGCAGAUAAAAAUCUGCAUAAGAAGCAAAGGAAAUUUCAAACCCCUCUUCCAAAGGGUGGAUUGACUGUUUUCAAGCGUGGUUUGGAGGUUGGUUUGAUUUCCCCUAAGAGCACUAGUAUGGUGGCAUUUGCAACUAUUCAAGCAACUGAUAGCAAAUCUAAGGCAACAGAUGGUCAACCCCUUGGUGAUUGUGUUGAGGUCCUUAUCAACACUGUGUUUUCUAAAACCACCUUGCUACCCCGCUCACAAGGAAAUAUUAGCAAGCUUUCAAACGCAGUUGGAAGAUGCAUUUAAUGGCCACGAAAGAAUGUUGAGCCACUCCAUGAUGGUAGUGGUGAUGGGCCUACUCCAAAGGUAUCUGUCAAUGGAGCAAUCAAGGAAAAUUCUAGCAAGAGAAGGAAGGUGAAAAAUAGCAGCUCAAUCACCUCGCCUGCAAUUUGCACAUAACAACUCUGGUGUUGACAGCAAGAUAAGAACAUCUUUGGUUGUACUACUCAUCAAUGUUAAGGCUCCGUUGAUUCAUCGCCUCUACCGUUGCUGUUAAUCUAUUAUGCAAAAACUUGUGAAUCUGCCACUUAGCUUAGAACAUGAGCAUGACAAAUGUGAAGAUUCUUUUAUGUCUAAAUAAAUUUGGUUGUACUCUGAGCUGUUGGACAUCCAAGAGUCUUGUUCAGCUGUGGAGUUCAUUAUGCAAUUAAAGACUGAAUUGAUAUUUCUGUUAUGAGUAA